CACCGUGUAUUGCCUUAGUAGCGGCGAGUGAAGCGGCAAUAGCUCAAAUUUGAAAUCUGGCACUUUCAGUGUCCGAGUUGUAAUUUGAAGAAGGUAUCUUUGGGUCUAGCUCUUGUCUAUGUUUCUUGGAACAGAACGUCACAGAGGGUGAGAAUCCCGUGCGAUGAGAUGUCUAGAUCUAUGUAAAGUUCCUUCGAAGAGUCGAGUUGUUUGGGAAUGCAGCUCUAAGUGGGUGGUAAAUUCCAUCUAAAGCUAAAUAUUGGCGAGAGACCGAUAGCGAACAAGUACAGUGAUGGAAAGAUGAAAAGAACUUUGAAAAGAGAGUGAAAAAGUACGUGAAAUUGUUGAAAGGGAAGGGCUUGAGAUCAGACUUGGUAUUUUGUAUGUUACUCUCUCGGGGGUGGCCUCUACAGUUUACCGGGCCAGCAUCAGUUUGAGCGGUAGGAGAAUUGCGUAGGAAUGUGGCUCGGCCUCGGUCGAGUGUUAUAGCCUUCGUCGAUACUGCCAGCUUAGACUGAGGACUGCGGCUUCGGCCUAGGAUGUUGGCAUAAUGAUCUUAAGUCGCCCGUCUUGAAACACGGACCA
rnacentral:rRNA from 1 species